UUGGAUUCUUAGAGUUCUGCCAUGUGUCAUUGGAGUAAUCGCUCACCUGUUCUUCUCCCAUCUUCAAUCAAUCAACCAAUUCUGUACUUUUCGUGGAUUGCUCUCCUCCUCAGCCAAUAUGAAACCCUAACCCUAGUAAGGUACGAUUUCCUUGCCCACAUUUCUUUGGCGACUCUGCUGGGGAUCGAACCAAGAAUCUCUGGUUUCGUAGAAGGGCAGGACAAUUUGGGCAUUAUUCUGAUGACCAAGGGUAAAUUUGGAAUUUCCCCUCCAAAAACUCUAUAAAUACCCCUUCCACUCUAUUGGGAAGGGGACCUCACUUUUGACUCGUGGACCUUUUCGGAAGACUAAGAGACUUUGAGAUUUUCUCUCAACCCGAAGACUCAAGAAGGCUUUUUGAAUCCUUGCUACCCUAACAAGGUGCUUGGAUUCUUAGAGUUCUAUCACGUGUCGUUGGAGUAAUCAUUCACCUGUUCUUCUUCCAUCUUUAAUCAAUCAAUCAAUUCUGUACUUUUCGUGGAUUUCUCUCAUUCUCAGACAACACGAAACCCUAACCAUAGCAAGGUACGAUUUCCUUGCCCACAUUUCUUUGGCGACUCUGUUGUAGAGGUGUAGAAUUCGUGAAGGGUAUGCCCACAACUCGAAGUGGGAGAACUACCAAAAGAGUGUCACCGACAACGAGCAUUACUUCACCGGAUCCAGU
rnacentral:lncRNA from 1 species